rnacentral:tRNA from 4 species
GGGCGCAUAGCUCAGUUGGUUAGAGUGCUACCUUGACAUGGUAGAGGUCGUAGGUUCGAUCCCUACUGCGCCCA